AUUGAACGCUGGCGGCAUGCCUUACACAUGCAAGUCGAACGGUAACGGGCCUUCGGGUGCCGACGAGUGGCGAACGGGUGAGUAAUACAUCGGAACGUGCCCGAUCGUGGGGGAUAACGAGGCGAAAGCUUUGCUAAUACCGCAUACGAUCUACGGAUGAAAGCAGGGGACCGCAAGGCCUUGCGCGGACGGAGCGGCCGAUGGCAGAUUAGGUAGUUGGUGGGAUAAAAGCUUACCAAGCCGACGAUCUGUAGCUGGUCUGAGAGGAUGAUCAGCCACACUGGGACUGAGACACGGCCCAGACUCCUACGGGAGGCAGCAGUGGGGAAUUUUGGACAAUGGGCGAAAGCCUGAUCCAGCCAUGCCGCGUGCAGGAUGAAGGCCUUCGGGUUGUAAACUGCCUUUGUACGGAACGAAAAGCCUUCUUUUAAUACAGGAGGGUCAUGACGGUACCGUAAGAAUAAGCACCGGCUAACUACGUG
rnacentral:rRNA from 1 species